rnacentral:rRNA from 1 species
AUUGAACGCUGGCGGCAGGCCUAACACAUGCAAGUCGAACGGAGUGGCGGACGGGUGAGUAACGUCUGGGAAACUGCCCGAUGGAGGGGGAUAACGUCCGGAAACGGGCGCUAAUAUCGCAUACUAUCAGAUGAGCCGAGGUCGGAUGAGCUAGUGGGUGGGGUAAAGGCCUACCAAGGCGACGAUCCGUAACUGGUCUGAGACGAUGAUCAGUCAAACUGGAAAUGAGACACGGUCCGUACUCCUACGGGAGGCAGCAGUGGGGAAUAUUGGACAAUGGGCGAAAGCCUGAUCCAGCCAUGCCGCGUGUGUGAAGAAGGUCUUCGGAUUGUAAAGCACUUUAAGUUGGGAGGCGUUACCAACAGAAUAAGCACCGGCUAACUUCGUGCCAGCAGCCGCGGUAAUUC